UACGUAGGGUGCAAGCGUUGUCCGGAAUUAUUGGGCGUAAAGAGCUCGUAGGCGGUUUGUUGCGUCGGCUGUGAAAUCCCGAGGCUCAACCUCGGGUCUGCAGUCGAUACGAGCAAACUAGAGUGUUGCAGGGGAGACUGGAAUUCCUGGUGUAGCGGUGAAAUGCGCAGAUAUCAGGAGGAACACCGGUGGCGAAGGCGGGUCUCUGGGCAACAACUGACGCUGAGGAGCGAAAGCGCGGGGAGCAAACAGG
rnacentral:rRNA from 1 species